ACGACCUUACUUGAACAGGAUCUGUUCUAUAGGCUCGUAUAUCUGUAUCCUUAAGUACUAAGGAGACAGGCAACCAAGUCUGGUGGAUGAAUCAUGGCCGCACGAUCAGAGCGUGAUUAACAGCUGGGCCCCUUCAUGGGUCCCUUGCAGUAGAGGAUCGUUCCCAAUCAGUUUCUCCUGAUUGGGGUGGUCGCGCGGUUGUCUGACAGACU